rnacentral:rRNA from 1 species
GAUGAACGCUAGCGGGAGGCCUGACACAUGCAAGCCGCGCGGUAUUUCUUCUUCGGGAGAGAGAGAGCGGCGUACGGGUGCGGAACACGUGUGCAACCUGCCUUUGUCUAGAGGAUAGCCUUUCGAAAGGAAGAUUACUACUCUAUAAUAUAUUAAUUGGCAUCAAUUGAUAUUGAAAACUCCGGUGGAUAGAGAUGGGCACGCGCAAGAUUAGCUAGUUGGUGAGGUAACGGCUCACCAAGGCAAUGAUCUUUAGGGGGCCUGAGAGGGUGAUACCCUACACUGGAGCUGAGACACGGACUAGACUCCUACGGCAGGCAGCAGCGAGGAAUAUUGGUCAAUGGGUGCAAGCAUGAACCAUCCAUCCCGCGUGGAGGAUUAAGGUCCUAUGGAUUGUAAACUUCUUUUGUAUAGGGAUAAACCUACCCUCGUGAGGGUAGCUGAAGGUACGAUACGAAUAAGCACCGGCUAACUCUGUGCCAGCAGCCGCCGUAAAAC